AAUUCAAAAAUGAAUGCUAAAUAGGCUAAUAAACUUUAACUUAAUACAUGCUUUGAAAUAUUUAAGCUUUACCUGAAUUAAUUGCUCCCAAACAUCAAAAGAAGCCUCAAACAACUUUGUUACAAGAUUCCAUGCAAAGCCACUGAGACCAUGAAAUAAAUCUUUACAUUCAGCAAAGAUUUGCUUCAAUGUCUUUAUUUGAUUCUUAAUGUUGAUUUCUAAAUAAGAGGACCAAAUGUUGCCGUUAAUACCUGUAACAUAUUGUCAAAAGCUAUAGUAUUCCAUGUUCCUUUAGGUCGAUUCCCUUUAUGAUCUUCUUCCAACAAGGCAUUUAUCAACACAUUAUCCAUGUCAUUGUCCAAACUACAUUGUCUCUACUUGACACUGAACUUUCCUGAUUUGGAACUUUUUUUCUCCUUGGCAUUAUUUAUCGUUUCCUUUAGAAGCCACUUCUAUGCAAGAAUUUUUUUAAGUGCGUCUUCAAUUCAACACGCACAGUAGAUAGAUCAAGAUUGAGGAUCCACAUCACAGAUCUUUGUGGAUCAAUGCGACGGAGGACUACAGAAUCGCAGCUGCUAGUAAAUCCAGGGGGUAAAGACAUGGAUGGACCACAAAGG
rnacentral:misc_RNA from 1 species